GAUGAAGAACGCAGUGAAAUGCGAUAAGUAGUGUGAAUUGCAGAAUUCAGUGAAUCAUCGAAUCUUUGAACGCACAUUGCGCCCCUUGGUAUUCCAUGGGGCAUGCCUGUUCGAGCGUCAUUUGUACCUUCAAGCUUUGCUUGGUGUUGGGUGUUUGUCCCUCGGGACUCGCAUUAAAGUCAUUGGCAGCCAGUGUUUUGGUUUUGAAGCGCAGCACAAGUCGCGAUUCAAGGCUAUCCGCCCGCUUCCACAAGCCUUUUUCACUUUUGACCUCGGAUCAGGUAGGGAUACCCGCUGAACUUAAGCAUAUCAAUAAGCGGAGGA
rnacentral:misc_RNA from 1 species